AACGCACAUUGCGCCCCUUGGUAUUCCAUGGGGCAUGCCUGUUCGAGCGUCAUUUGUACCUUCAAGCUUUGCUUGGUGUUGGGUGUUUGUCCUCUCCUUGGUGUUUGGACUCGCCUUAAAACAAUUGGCAGCCAGUGUUUUGGUAUUGAAGCGCAGCACAAUUUGCGAUUCUGGCCUUAAAAUACUAGCGUCCAUAAGUAUUUUCUCACUUUUGACCUCGGAUCAGGUAGGGAUACCCGCUGAACUUAA
rnacentral:misc_RNA from 1 species